UGUAAAAAACUUGUUAAAAUUUUUGUUGGUUACUUUAUAUUUACAGCUCUUUUUCCUCUCUAACAGGCUCCAGACAGAUGAGUAGAGAGCUGGCUGCAGAAGAGGGACAGAUUCCAGCUUGCCAGCUGCUCACCGUGUGCAGAGUGCCUGCAGGCCUGAGUGCAGCUGUGUGAGCCUAAAGAUGAAUUUCAGAGUGAGGGAAUGUAGUGAGUGACAGGGAGGGGACAGAACCUGCAGCCACGUGGCACCGACAGCAAUAAACCUGGGUGAGU
rnacentral:lncRNA from 1 species